UUGAACGCUGGCGGCAGGCCUAACACAUGCAAGUCGAACGGUAACAGGAAACAGCUUGCUGUUUCGCUGACGAGUGGCGGACGGGUGAGUAAUGUCUGGGAAACUGCCUGAUGGAGGGGGAUAACUACUGGAAGCGGUAGCUAAUACCGCAUAACGUCGCAAGACCAAAGAGGGGGACCUUCGGGCCUCUUGCCAUCGGAUGUGCCCAGAUGGGAUUAGCUAGUAGGUGGGGUAACGGCUCACCUAGGCGACGAUCCCUAGCUGGUCUGAGAGGAUGACCAGCCACACUGGAACUGAGACACGGUCCAGACUCCUACGGGAGGCAGCAGUGGGGAAUAUUGCACAAUGGGCGCAAGCCUGAUGCAGCCAUGCCGCGUGUAUGAAGAAGGCCUUCGGGUUGUAAAGUACUUUCAGCGGGGAUGAAGGGAGUAAAGUUAAUACCUUUGCUCAUUGACGUUACCCGCAGAAGAAGCACCGGCUAACUCCGUG
rnacentral:rRNA from 1 species